CUCUACACUCAGUAAUACAUCAACUACAAUCAGCCAAAUCGACAUUAUAAUUAUAACGGUAGCUGCUGUUGGCUGGACAUUAUUUCUCCUGGCUACCAUUGUUAUAGUUUAUAAUUGUUUCAGACAUCGUAAAACUGCAACACAGCUAAACAGUUCCCAGAAAAAGAUUCCAACAAGCAGACCAUUACCAUCACCACACGUACAUGAAGAUAAUAGGAAUGCCUCUACACAAUUGCUAAAUUAUUAUUUACCCAACGAAACAUCAGACCAGACCAUCGUCAAACGAACGCUGAGCUCUCAUUACAACACAUAUUCAAAACUUGAGUUCGAAGAGGAAACAAG
rnacentral:sRNA from 1 species